UUUAUUUUUAUUUUCAUUUGAAUUUGCUGGUGGACUACUAUUGAAUACCUUGACUACAUGGGAUUUGUUAUGCCUAUACACCUCUGCAACUCUGUAAGUGUUUCAACAUUAAGCGUAAUAUUAGGCUAAUAGCAGUCUGCACUUAUUAUUACACUUCUUUUCUCUCCUACAUGCCCAUACAUGUGGGGAAGAUCUUCUGUCAACCUUAUUAUUGAUGUGCCUUCAAUCAAAC